GUUUUUCUUGGUUACGAAAAAUGACCAAUUAGAUCUCGCCCUGUAAGGGCGUUUCGUGCGUUCUUAAUUGACGAUACGGGACUCUUAAAAAAAGCCCGGUUGCUGAUACUUCAGCAGAGUCGUCUGUGUGUAAUUUUGGUUACAUCUUUCUCUAUGGGGAUUUGAACCAAUAUCUCCCCGAGAUCGUCGGCUUAGCUCCCAACAGCCUACCUCACCGAUGCUGUCUGGGCUGGUCUUUUUGUAGAGGAGAAAUGGACUCCUGUUAUAGCUGACUUUUUACCUACGUCUUUUUCCUGAUAUUUAUCGGGUUCCACUGAGACCCUCACCAUUGACGAGUUUUGAUAUCGACGAUUCAUCUCGUUUCCACUCUCCGAUGUACAUGGCAGGCCUAUAGCUACGUAUUUCAUCAUUCCAAGUUCAGGUCGCACAACUCAAUUCGCCAAGUAGACACCAACUUUUGUAGACAAGUCAACUUCUCAACGCUUUGGCCUAGUUUGGAGUUUAUAUCCUAUUUUGUCACUUAAUCAAUUACUCUGUUUUAAACUGAUAGAGAUCCUAUACAUUUCUUUGAAUAUUCGACAUAACUUGUACUGUCUUCAGUUUAUUGGAUAAACCAUACAGGCAUUUCUUUGAGUUGUAAACACUCUGUAAAAUUGUCAUAGAAAGCAUUGGAAUCAUUUUAAUUAUAAAUUGAAGUCAUGGAACCGUAA